UGUGUGCCAUACUUUGCCUGCCCUAUGCUGCCUAUGUGUGCCAUACUCUGCUUGCACUACUCUGCCUGUGGGAGGGGAGCCUGGUGUUAGUUUAUCAUUUGGAAAUAGUAUAUGGCCCAUAUGUGCUGGGGGAUGCUGCACUAUCCACGGGGGUGAAGGAGGUGUGUGGAUUUAAGGGUAUGUCUUAAAAGUUUAUGACUUUAUUAACUUUUUCACAUAUGAGUUAUGAAUGAUAUCCCUUCAGUGAGCAACCAAUAUUUUGUUGGUGUUCUACCACCAUUACUGUGAGUAUGGUCUUAUAAGUUCUAAGUAGGUGUUUUAAAUAAAGGGGGAGUAGUAAAAACUGGCUUCCAUUAUUUUCCCUUCACCACAUAGGUCAGAAAAAUUCUGGCCUUUUGUACCACAGAAGUUGGACAGCACUGCUCUAGGCUACACAGGCCAGAUAUUGUAAUUGUUUUAAUGAAUAUUUCACACUGGCUAUUGCAAAAAAAAAAAAAAUGAUUGUUUGAUUUCCCUUAUUUUUAAUAUUUAACAUGAACAUUUAUAUUCCAGGUUUUAUACCCCUUCAUGGAUGGAAUCAUAAACUGGGCCACCUGUAUCUUCAUAGUAAUUGUGUUAAUAACAUUGAAGAAGUUCUCCAGAGUAUGGUGGGAUUUAAUUGCUUGCUUCACCUUACAUUAGAGCAGAAUGCAAAAGGAAACCCUGUUUGUAAUGUCUUAGGAAUCUGCAAGUGGACCUGUAAAAACAGCUCGAAUUGAUGAAGUUCUAACCAAGUACAGAAAGCAGGGAGGUGCUUCAGAGGCUAUUAACUUAAGCACAGAUAUUACAUCCUCAUCUGAGCAUGAUAUUGCCCGGUUCCAUGAUAACAGCAACAUGUUGCGUGAGAUGAGAAUUAAGAAAUUGAAGGAUCAGAUUUUCAUAUAGAACAGACUACACUGACUCUGAAAGUGCAAAGGAUAACAGAAAGGGUAGUACAACAAGAACCCCUGGGUGUCGUAAAACAAGCCAGGCUUCUAAGCAUCAGAAGCAUCAGGCCAGCCAGCAGUCGAAAGGCAGAACAUUUGUCGGUGAGCCAAAACAGAAUGUAUCAAGGAAACAACCUCUUUCCAAGACUCAGAGAAAAGCAGAUAUUAAGACUAGUGUGUCAUCUGGGUGAACAGACAAUACAGGACAGAUACCUGGAAAGCCCCAUGCUCUAGAAGGGAGUCUAAAAAAAGAAAGGGGAGCUCAUCAGAAAUGCAACCGAGGAAUCUACAUACAGAGCACUUGUGCAAGAACUGGACCAGGAACGAGAAAGGAGGUGGAAGGCUGAACAAGUUGUCCUGAAGUUAACAGAUAGUAUAAAGGAACUACAAAACCAGGCCAAAGAAGAAAAGGACGUUAACAGUAUGGCUGUUUAUACCACUGAUGGAAAGGAACUGGAAGCCAGAGUUGCACUUAAUGGGCCUGAAUUUCAGGAUGCGCUGGCUAAAGAAAUGACCAAAGAAGCACAUCGCCACAGUCAAGAAUUACAUUCAUUUCAAGAGAAGAUGAAUUUGCUGACUCGGCAGUACGCUGAUCUAGAAGAUGAGUUUCGUGCGGCCUUGAUCAUUGAAGCAGGAAGAUUUAAAGAAGUAAUGUUAAAGUGGUAUAGUGCCUGUGUAUUUACACAUGUUACAGAGAUCAUUUUUGGGCUUGUAACUGAGUUUGUGUUGUGGAAAGACAGAAGGGCCCAAGGGAGGGCUUACAGAUUUGCCUGGUUUAGUCACGAAAUAACAAAAAAUAGAUAUUUCCUAACUGAAAUAACAAGCAAACAGUAAGUUCAGAACAAUCCCUACUCAUUAAACUGAUGUUUAGAAGGUGACAUACUGUCCCUUUAAAGGAGAAGGAAAGGUACAAUCACUGGGGCCACUGAUUGUAAUCAAUUACCUGAUAUCCCAGGCUGGUGAUCCUGUUAGCAAAAAACUUAACCGGCCUGGAGUACUUGCGAGCAAGCGAUCCUCUUCAUUCUGUCUUCUUUCUUUGUGAUCCCGCAGUAAAGUGAAAAGGCCGGCAGGUAACCUGGGCCGGUGCAGUUUUCUCUUAUGCAAAUCUACUGUACUCUACUCAGAUCUACUCUACCCUACUGUACUCUCUUAUUCAUUUGCCAUAUUGUGGAACCUGAGUUAACCCAUUAAUAGAGUAAAAGGCGUUAUUAGUGUUUAAAUAACGGGUUUUUACUACAUGGCGAUUAUCAGAAUAAUAAUUGGAUUUUUUGAUAAAAGAUUAGGGAAAAGGUAGGAGAUACAAGGUAUAAUUAUGUUUUUAGAUUCUUCUUUCUUUGAUUUUCCAUAUUGUGGAACCUCAAUUAACCUGUAAACAGAGUAAAAGACGGUAUUAGUGUUUAAAUCUUGAUGGUAUAAUGUAUUUUUACUACAUGGCGAUUAACAGAAUAAAAGUUGGAUUUUUUUAUAAAAAAAAUUAAGGAAAAGGUAAGAGAUAAAAGGUAUAAUUAUCUUUUUAGAUUCUUCUUUCUUUGAUUUGCCAUAUUGUGGAACCUCAGUUAACCUGAGGACCGAACACUGGGAGAAGUUCUUUGUUUGUGUUAUUCUGGAGUAGGACUUCCUAGAUGCUGAACGGGUUUACACUUUUCUCUUAGGUGUUCGAGAACGGGACUUUUUUAUCUCCGCGAUCUAGUAUACCUGGAAACAAUCAAUUCUACUCUACUCCAUCCUACUUAAAGGAACAGUAACACCAAAAAAUGAAAGUGUAUAAAAGUAAUAA